rnacentral:rRNA from 1 species
UAUUUGAUAUGUAAUGUAUUAUUUCAUAAUCUUAAUCUGGUAAUAAUAUAGACAUUAUUUUAAGGAUUAACUUUAUGGCAAGUAUAUAAAGAGACUAUUAAAGAGGAAUAGCUGUAUAUUAGUAAAUAAACAAUAGGUAUAAUCUAUUGGUGAAAUUUUUGAAAGAAAUAACGAAGCGAAUUGAAGUAUCUUAGUAGCUUCAGGAAAAUAAAUCAAACGAGAUUCUAUUAGUAGUGUGAAUGAAAAUAGAUAAUAGGCUUCAAGUAAAAUGGGUUAAUCUGUUUGAAUAUAGGGGAACCUUCCUCUAAGCCUUAAUAUAAUAUACAAGUGGUAGAGAAAAGUACCGUGAGGGAUAUCUUUAAUUAGUAGUCUUAAAAGCAGCUCGAGGUAAGUUUAAUAAACAUAUGAGAGCGUACCUUUUGUAUAAUGGGUCAGCAAGUUCUAAUUAGAUGCAAGCAAGUUUAAGGUUAAAAAUUAUAAAAUAUGUAAUUAAACGUAUUGUCAUUUUUGACUUAAAAGGUAACUAAUAGUUAUUCAAAAAAAAAAUAGCUAAGUAACUAUUGUGAAAAUAAGAUUGUGAUCUUAUAGAUAGUAAAUACAAUAUAGUCAUGUAAAGUAAGUCAAGAAGAAACGCCUGGAGCGUUAUUAAUAUAAACUAGUUAUACGAUUUGCCUAGAUAAUCCAAUUAUUAAUUAAUGAUGUAGUAUCUAAAUAGAGACCCGAAGAGUAGUGAUCUUACCAUGAUCAGGCUUAUAAAAGGCCGAAUGGGUUAUCGUUGUAAAGAUAUCCAAAGAAUUGUGGUAAGUUAGUGAAAGACAACCCUGACUACUAUAGCUGGUUUUCCGCGAAACAUAUGUAAGUAUGUGGUUUAAUUACAUCAUAGCAGGUACAGAACUGUGAUCUCGGACAAUUGUGCAUUCUUACCAUUGAGGGGAUUUAUACCAUCUUUUUGGCUAAGAUGCCCUGUGCAUAUGGGGGGGUCGUGAAGACUCUAUCCGCGAGGAUUUGCUCUCGGAAGGGCAAUGAUGAAUGUUGAACUAUCAGACAUUUAACGAUAAGGUUGUAUGUCAAAAGGGAAACAGCCCAGAACAAGUGUUUAAGGUUCCAAAGUUUUUGUUAAGUGAAAGUAAGGAAGUAUUUAAACUAUACAACCAGGAAAUAGGCUUAGAAGCGGCCAUUUUUUAAAGAUCUCGUAACAGAGCACUGGUUCACCGGGUUAUUAAUAUUUAACCUGUUAAGUUAAAAGCGCCGAAGAUAUAACGGAUCUAAACAAAACACCGACACCUUGUCCAUAAUAAUAAAAGGUAAUUUUGUUAAGGGAAAGGUAAUAACUUAAGUAAGAUUAGUUAGGACUAAUAUAAUAACAUUAAUUACAUCUUUAUACUUUAAAAACUUUUUAAGUAUUGUUUAUGGGGUAGCGGAACAUUGGGUACAUAGGAUUAGGAAUAGAAAUGAUAUGAUAUAGCAAUAUUAUAAAAAAAAAUAGGCAUAGAUAUCAGAAGCUGAUUAGCUUUAAUUUUUAAGGUUAAUCAUAUAAAACGCGUUUUAUAUAAAGUUUAUAGAACGAGUAGCUAUUUCCAUUAUUACUUUAUUGUAAUAUACUCGCCAUAAAGCGGGAUUCCAUUGAUAUAUCCCAAGUGAGAAUGCUGACAUGAGUAACGAAAAAGACGAUAACUUGGAUAGAUUCAUACAUAUGUAUACAUGAUUGAACAAAAAAACAAGGAGUCUCGCCUUAAGCUUAUGGGAUAUUAAGCGGUCUCUAAAUUUAACCUAAAGGGUAAAAUGAUGAGGUAAUUGGUGUUUUGACAACAUAAACUUUUGAGGGGAAUGUUCUGGAAAAUAAACAUCUUUCUGAGGGUAUUAGAUGUAUACCGAUAGAGAGGUAGAUGAAAACUAUAGAGAUUUUUUUCUACUACUAUUAAGAAAAAUUAACCGUACCUAAAAACUACCGCAAGUAAGCUAGUAGAGAAUACGAAGGCGUUUGAGCUAACAAUCAUUAAGGAACUCGGCAAAUUGACACCGUAACUGAGGGAGAAGGUGUGCCAUUCCUACUGAGUAAUGUCAGGCUAGGAAGAGGAGACAUAGAAUGGUGUUGCACGACUGUUUAAUUAAAACACAGCACUUUGCGUAAGAUGUAAAUCAAUGUAUAGAGUGCGCUAUCUGCCCUAUGAUGGCUGGUUAACGGAGUUACUUAGGCGAAUAUAGUAGUUUAGGUUUUGAAGGAACCCCCAUUUAAUGGCGGCCUUAUCUAUAAGGGUCCUAAGGUAGCGAAAUACCUUGGCAUUUAAAUGAUGUCGCGCAUGAAUGAUCUCACGAUGCAACAGCUGUCUCAAUGAUUGGCUCAGUGAAAUUGGAAUGGCAGUGAAGAUACUGCCUAUCUCUAGAUAGACGAGAAGACCCCAUGCAGCUUUACUGUUACUAGUUAUUGGGUAUAACGGAAAAAGUAUUAGUGUAUAAGGUAGUUGGAUGGCAUAAUUGAAACACCUUUACUUACGUGUUAUAUUACAAGAAUAGGUUUACAUUCAUUUGGUUUACUGACGUCUCAAUGUAAUCCAGAAUAAGGAGAUAAAUCUCAGGAGACAAUGAUUAGCAGAUGGUUUAUGCGGGGCACAGAUCCCAUAAAGAGUACCUGGGAGUAUCCAAAUUUAAUUUUUGUAAUAAGCUAAACGCUAUACAAUAUAUAGAGCUUUUAUUUAAUUAUAGCUUUAUAUAUAUUUCAUUUUUUAUUGAAUUUUUAUAAAAUUUAGUUUGUUAUUUUUUAUAUUUACAAUUUUUUGUCUUUGAACAAAAAAAAGUAUCUAUGAUUAAUUCAUUUAUAUUUCUAUUUGAGUUAGAACUAAAACAAUUUACAUUAAGUAAGAUUUUACCUAUGUGGAAAAUAGGUGUAUAUAUGGUAUUAGAAUAAAUAGUUUAUCAGAAUUAUCAUUUAUUGUAACACUAUUAGUUGUUUUUUUUUAACGUAAGAAAAAUGAUAUUGAUAUAUACUUCAAAAGUUUAAUGGCUUAAUCUUGCUUUACUGUUUGACAUACACGUCUAUCAGUUGCGUAAGCAGGGCAUAAAGAUCGCAAGACACAGGAAGGAAAGGUCUUGUAUUAUUGAAAAAGCUACGCUGGGGAUAACAGGCUAAUUGCGCAAGAGAGUACAAAUUGAGUGCGCAGUUUGGCACCUCGAUGUCGGCUUAGCUCAUCCACAUGAAUGUAGGAAUCAUGAAGGGUACGACUGUUCGUCGAUUAAAGAGCUACACGAGCUGGGUUAAAUACGUCGUGAGACAGUAUGGUUUCUAUCUUCUAGAGGAAAUUAGAGUAAAAUAAGGAUAGCCCCUUCGUACGAAAGGAGUUGGGUAUGCUAAUCAAUGGUUUACCUGUUGUUUAUAGGCUUAAUAUUAACAGAUUAUAGAUUUUAAGAAUAGGUUCGGAUUCUUUCAUAGAUGUAGGAUAUCUAUGGGAGAAGAGGAAUAAGAGAGAUUAAUUGAUAAGAUUUUAAUUUCCUAUGUCAAAAAAGCUUCGUUGGGUAAUACUUUGUGCUUAAGUUAGGGAAUGUAAUAAACAUGAUUUAGUGAAGGAACUAAUAAGGGCGCUAAACUCGAGUAUUUAUUGAUACUACUGGUAAUUAAAUAUUAUAAGGUAGUACAUAAUAUAGGCAUGGCAGGAAAGCUAAGUUAGUUAAGAUAAGUGCUGAAUGCAUCUAGGCACGAAGCUUACCUUAAGAUACUCUUAGAUUCGUAAUAUAACAUUACGAGGGUAAUAGUUAGAAGGAGAUAAUUUCAUAAAUUUUUAUGUAAUUGAGUAUUUGACUAACAUAAUUAUAUAUACCAAUAGGCUUUGGCUGAAAGGGCUUUAAUGUUCUUAGGUAUAAAGUACUAAUUUAUUACUAACUAAAUACGAUACUUAUCGUUAAAUA